UCCAGGGUAGCCUAGUGGACAUGGCAUCUGCCCGGUAAGCGGAACACUGUGGGUUCGUUUCCCAUCCAUGGAC